AUGAGUUGUAGCAAAAUUCGGCAUUUUGAAACUACUGUUUUUAUUUGCUGCUAAUCUUUCAGAGUGCCUAACAGUAAGAUCUUCACAGAAUAAAUCUCGCAAGUAGCAAGGUUUUUCUAUGUCUAAAAGUUUAUAAAAAUAGCAAGCAACAUAAUAAAUACGGCGACUUUUAAUAGAUAGCCAACCAAGUUCACGUCUGUAAGGCGUGAUGUGUUCAUCACGCUUCAAGUGAAAGAUAAAGCGAAUAGCUGAGUUUAACGCACGUUGAAGUUUACGAUCAUUUUCAUAUAAUGAAUUUGUUAAAACAAUAAUACAAUAGUCAAUUAAGGACUAUAUAAUGUAGAGUUUAUUUUGCUUACUGUUUUUGCAACAUGAAAAUUCCAAGAUAGAUCACUCGAUAAAUGGAGUCUAAGACACUUAGCCGAGUCCGUAUACGGGAGUGUCACACCAUCAAUGAUGAUAGGGGGUGAUCCUUCACGUAUAAGAGAUUUCACUCUAUUAUUUGAUCCUAACAGCAUGGCUUUUGUUUUAAGAAGAUUUACUUCUAAGCCAUUCUCUCUGGCCCAAUCAGCAACAGCUUGGGCAUCAACAUUUAUCAGCCUUAUUGCUUCAUGGAGCUGAUACGAAUAGAAAUGUAAGUAGAUGUCCUAGGACCGAGCCUUGAGGAACACCAGACGUGGUUUCAACAAAACCCACCGGAAUCCCUUGUUCAUCUACCACUGACUGACUCCUGUUAGUCAGAUAUGAAAAAAACCAGGUGAUUGUAUCAAUAGAGAAGCCUAAUUCAACCAAGGUUCUCAAAAUAACUUUAUGG